rnacentral:snRNA from 1 species
UUGUUUCAGCAGCACAUAAAGGAAAAUUUAGAAUGAUACAGAGAUUAGUAUGGCUCCUGCACAAGGACUACAGGCAAAUUCAUGAAGCAGUUCUCUCUUUU